rnacentral:rRNA from 1 species
CGCCUGUUUAACAAAAACAUGUCUUUUUGUAAUUUAUUUAAAGUCUAACCUGCCCACUGAAAUUUAAAGGGCCGCGGUAUUUUGACCGUGCGAAGGUAGCAUAAUCAAUAGUCUUUUAAUUGAAGGCUGGUAUGAAUGGUUGAAUGAGAUAUAUACUGUUUUUUUAAAAAUUUUAUAGAACUUUAUUUUUUAAUUAAAAAGUUAAAAUAUAAUUAAAAGACGAGAAGACCCUAUAGAUCUUUAUUUUUAUAAAUUAUAAUUUAUAAAGAAUUUUAAAAAUUAUAUUUUAAAUAAAAUUUUAUUGGGGUGGUAUUAAAAUUAAAUUAACUUUUAUUAUUUAUUAACAUAUAUUUAUGAAUAAAAGAUCCUGUUUUAUGGAUUAAAAAUUUAAGUUACCUUAGGGAUAACAGCGUAAUUUUUUUAGAGAGUUCAUAUCGAUAAAAAAGAUUGCGACCUCGAUGUUGGAUUAAGAGUUAUUAUUAGGUGUAGAAGUUUAAAGUUUAGGUCUGUUCGACCUUUGAAUUCUUACAUGAUCUGAGUUCAAACCGGAG